AUUGACCGCUGGCGGCAGGCGUAACACAUGCAAGUCGAGCGAGCGGCGGACGGGUGAGUAAUGUCUGGGAAACUGCCUGAUGGAGGGGGAUAACUACUGGAAACGGUAGCUAAUACCGCAUACCAUCAGAUGUGCCCAGAUGGGAUUUGCUAGUAGGUUGGGUAAUGGCUCACAUAGGAGACGAGCCCUAGCUGGUCGGAGUUGAUGAACAGCCACACUGGAACUGAGACACGGUCCAGACGCCUACGGGAGGCAGCAUGGGGGAAUAUUGCACAAUGGGCGCAAGCCUGAUGCAGCCAUGCCGCGUGUAUGAAGAAGGCCUUCGGGUUGUAAAGCACUUUCAGCGAGGAGGCGUUACUCGCAGAAGAAGCACCGGCUAACUCCGUGCCAGCCGCCGCGGUAAUUC
rnacentral:rRNA from 1 species